CUAAAUAAUUCAUUUAUAUUUCUCUUUUCCUUAUUCCAUUCUUUGUUUCUGUGUCCGGAAUAUUUGGUUCAAGAACUAUUUGCAUUACUAAAGGCAAAGUUUCGUGAACUAAGUUUUCCCUCAAUCGCAUUCGCAACCGCAAAAGGUACUAUUUAGUGACGUAAGCCGGUCGACAGCGAUGUCAUUUAAGCGCGUCCGUUGAACAACGACAAACAACCAACAACAGAAGUUUGGCCUGUCAGCGUUUGCUUAAGUUACGGAUCGUUCACAUCCUGCAGGUUUAGAUACUGCCUAGGAGAAGGAGCUAAAGUGUUCCUCCAAACUAAAAUUCCGGCCGGUUCCUGCGGUGCGAACAACAAAAAGAAGCCAUGGCAAGAGCAGUUAUCGAUCUAGAUGAGCCUAUACCACCUAACUGCUUUGCUUGCCGACUGCUCUUCUGCAGUAAGAUAUAUAAUCCUGUGUGAGGAACUGAUGGAGUCUUAUACGACAAUGAAUGCUCACUGUGUCUCAAAAUACGGUAAUAUCACAUUUGUGCUCUUAUCUACAAUUUUAACUCUGAGGUAUCCUCUAAAAACACAUAAUGUGGUUCAAAUGGUUUCCUCUAAGAGACAUGACAAGUGGUUUUAUGAAACCCGACAGUCAACAUCUUUUACUGUUUUAUAGGGAGGAGAGAGAUGACACACGAAUUGCCCAUUUGGGGUCCAUCUGCUGGAGUCGUGACAUACAACAGCUUUACAGUCGUUCACUGUCAUUGGAUGUUUGUUCUGGGCAUAAGUGCACCUCUUAUGAGACCAUAAGGGGAAUAUGAGGCUGUGAGGUAAAUUAUUCCAUAUAAGGUUUGAGAAUUAUGUAUUGUCAUUAAGUCAAAAACAGAAGGGCUGUUAAGUGUUGGGUAUAACAUUGAAAUCUUAUUACUUGAUAUAAAAGUAGUGUUACAUCUUACCCUCUUGU